GUGACACCUUCUUCAGAAAGAUGGGUCUGAUCUGCAGUGUUCCAAGAUUUGGCCAAUGGGCCAAGUUCUUCCCAUGAGGUCUGUGGGGACUUGGAGAAGGAGAUGUAGGGGACAGCUAAGUCCCAGUGGUGGUAUGAGCUACCUCUGGAGGCAGGUGGACUAAGGCUAGAUAAUUGCCAUUAGGAUCACGGAACAGAUCUGUUUUGGUGAGCUGCACCUCCACCAACUGGAACAGGUCUUCUUCAUAGUAGGGUUCGGGUCCUGGAGUAUUUCUGAACCAUCGGGUGAAAAGAGGGAAAGGCGGGGUGUCAUUUCCUCCCCCCCCGCCCCCUGGGAAGUGGCAGAAGAGUGACCGGGUUGAGGGAGUAGCACCUCUGCAGGGAGACCUUGUCUGGCAGCAGGAGAGAACAUUGUAAGCGAAGGUGGCGAGCAGCUGAGAGGUGCUUGGGCUAAACUUGGCUGAGGAUGGCAGCUAUGUCGUGAGGUGCAAGGAGACAGACGCU